rnacentral:rRNA from 1 species
GACGAACGCUGGCGGCGUGCUUAACACAUGCAAGUCGAGCGAUGAAGCUCCUUCGGGAGUGGAUUAGCGACGGACGGGUGAGUAACACGUAGGCAACCUGCCCGUAAGACCGGGAUAACACACGGAAACGUGUGCUAAUACCGGAUAACCUGCAGAAGCGCAUGCUUCUGCACGCAAAGGCGGAGCAAUCCGUCACUUACGGAUGGGCCUGCGGCGCAUUAGCUAGUUGGUGAGGUAACGGCUCACCAAGGCGACGAUGCGUAGCCGACCUGAGAGGGUGAUCGGCCACAUUGGGACUGAGACACGGCCCAGACUCCUACGGGAGGCAGCAGUGGGGAAUAUUGCACAAUGGGGGAAACCCUGAUGCAGCAACGCCGCGUGAGUGAUGACGGUCUUCGGAUUGUAAAGCUCUGUCUUCAGGGACGAUAAUGACGGUACCUGAGGAGGAAGCCACGGCUAACUACGUGCCA